rnacentral:miRNA from 1 species
UCCAGUUUAUAUAUUGUUUUGGCUUCCUGCAUUUUACUUUUUGUUCAUAACACUUUCAACUUAUUACUUCUUUGGUUAUGCAUUGUCAUUGAUGAGAGAGUGUUAUCAACAAAAAGUAAAAUGCAGGAAGCCAAAACAAUAUAUAAACUGGA